rnacentral:tRNA from 2 species
CAGAGAAUAGUUUAAUUUAGAAUGCUAGCUUUGGGAGUUAGUAGUGGAAGUUAAAAUCUUUCUUUUCUGG